rnacentral:lncRNA from 1 species
CCCAUGAUAUUCUUAAUCUUUGUCUCGUACCCACCUGUCUAAGUAAGCUUACUGUAUCACACUUACACCAUAUCAUCAAUAACAGAUGGAUUAUAUAUAUCUUUCUUCUAAAAACAUAUAACAGAAGUAGCAUUGCUCACCAACUGUCUCUAGAGCAAGUGGCAAAGAGCUUGAUGAUUGAUACCCGAGAUCCAGAUUCGAAUCCUAGUUGAUUCACAUUUUUAGCUAAAAAAAUAGCAUUGCUCUUUAAUCGAAUGUUGUUGUUUUUACAAUAUAAAGCAACUCUCGCUGAAAAGACGUUUUUGGGGAUGCGGGGGGAGUGGCUGCGGCUGGUGCAUGCACCUGUGGUAUUCUUAGUCUUUGCCUUGGACCCACUCGUCCGAGAAAGUGGAAACUCUACUGUGUCACAGUACACCACAUCAUCACUAACAAGUUGAUCGAUAUAAUAAAAAUAUUUUUUUAUAAUUACGAUGGGAACGAAUAAAUUUAAACAGAACCGUUUAAUUGAUGAAAACUAAGGGUGGCAAUCCAACUCAUUAUUCACGAAUCCGUUUGUUUUUGGCUCGAAAUGAGUUCGAGAUCGAAUCGCUCAUUUAGUAAACGAACCGAACACAAGUUAGGUGCAACUCGCUCGUAUUCGGUCCGAUAACAGCUCAGAAAUAUAUUUUUUAUAUUUAUAUAAUUUAUUUAAUUAUAUAUAUAUAUAAUUAUAUAAUAUAUAUAUUUUUAUUAUUUGAUUUUUAGUAAAAAAAAAACCGAGUUCAAUUAUAAAAAGACUCAUUUAUAUGUAAAGUUUCAACUAUUAGAUCAAAUUCUAAUGGAUAAAAUUGUAUAAAUUUAUUUUUUAUGCAUAUUCAAUCUAAUCUAUUUAACUUAUUAUUCAUUGGCCAACUUGUGUACGGCUCGAUUAUUAACGAGCUGAAUUUUUUCGACUCGAUACUUCAACGAGUCAUAUCAAAUGAGUCGAACACGAGCCAGUCUCAGCUUGCUCAUAUUCGACU